UACGUAGGUGGCAAGCGUUGUCCGGAUUUACUGGGCGUAAAGAGCGCGCAGGCGGUCGUUCAAGUCGCGUGUGAAAGCCCCCGGCUCAACUGGGGAGGGUCACGCGAUACUGAUCGACUCGAAGGCAGGAGAGGGUAGUGGAAUUCCCGGUGUAGUGGUGAAAUGCGUAGAUAUCGGGAGGAACACCAGUGGCGAAGGCGACUUCCUGGCCUGUUCUUGACGCUGAGGCGCGAAAGCUAGGGGAACAAACGGG
rnacentral:rRNA from 1 species